AACGAACGCUGGCGGCAGGCUUAACACAUGCAAGUCGAGCGCCCCGCAAGGGGAGCGGCAGACGGGUGAGUAACGCGUGGGAAUCUACCCAUCUCUACGGAAUAACGCAUGGAAACGUGUGCUAAUACCGUAUACGUCCUUAGGGAGAAAGAUUUAUCGGAGAUGGAUGAGCCCGCGUUGGAUUAGCUAGUUGGUGGGGUAAAGGCCUACCAAGGCGACGAUCCAUAGCUGGUCUGAGAGGAUGAUCAGCCACACUGGGACUGAGACACGGCCCAGACUCCUACGGGAGGCAGCAGUGGGGAAUAUUGGACAAUGGGCGCAAGCCUGAUCCAGCCAUGCCGCGUGAGUGAUGAAGGCACUAGGGUUGUAAAGCUCUUUCACCGGUGAAGAUAAUGACGGUAACCGGAGAAGAAGCCCCGGCUAACUUCGUGCCAGCCGCCGCGGUAAUAC
rnacentral:rRNA from 1 species